GACGAACGCUGGCGGCGUGCUUAACACAUGCAAGUCGAACGGAAAGGCCCUGCUUUUGUGGGGUGCUCGAGUGGCGAACGGGUGAGUAACACGUGAGUAACCUGCCCUUGACGUUGGGAUAACUUCAGGAAACUGGGGCUAAUACCGGAUAGGAGCUCCUGCUGCAUGGUGGGGGUUGGAAAGUUUCGGCGGUGGGGGAUGGACUUGCGGCUUAUCAGCUUGUUGGUGGGGUAGUGGCUUACCAAGGCUUUGACGGGUAGCCGGCCUGAGAGGGUGACCGGCCACAUUGCGACUGAGAUACGGCCCAGACUCCUACGGGAGGCAGCAGUGGGGAAUAUUGCACAAUGGGCGGACGCCUGAUGCGGCAACGCCGCGUUCGGGAUGACGGCCUUCGGGUUGUAAACCGCUUUCGCCUGUGACGAAGCGUGAGUGACGGUAAUGGGUGAAGAAGCACCGGCUAACUACGUG
rnacentral:rRNA from 1 species